ACUCCUCCAACAGCUAGCCUUAAGUCUCUCAAGCCCUGAUGGACAGGACCUUACACUGUGAUCCUCGCCACCCCUUCAGCUGCCAGGCUCCUGGGACAUCCAUGCUGAAACAGAUGCCUGAGGUCUCCAGGAUGGCAGUUAACUAGACGAUUCUUCACCUACACCUCCCACUGAGUCAGCAGAGAGGCUCAAUAUCGGGGUACAGAAACUUACUGCCCGCCAUUGCCGUGAGUCAUGGAAAUCCUUUGGUCGUGGUUCCACAGGACCAGUCCCUUCACACACUUCAGCAGGCUUUCAAGUAAACCAGGAUGGUUUCAACUUGCACGUAGCUGAGGGCCAACUUGAACUCCUGAUCCUACUGCCCUCACCCUUUAAGUGCUGGAAUCACAGGUGUGUGCUCCACACCUGGCUCAUUUGUUCCUCACCACGCUAAGCAAGGUCACGGUACUGCCAGGGCUCUUGCCAUUACAGAACAAGAUG